GGAUGUGAGGGCGAUCUGGCUGUAACAUCUAUCACCCUCUUGAUUGCCAGGAUUAAUUCUGCUGAUCUGGUUGGCUAAGGGGAUGUCCCCUUCCUCCCUCCUCCCUCGCAGCUCCAAGUGCAACCUCUCCAAGGUGACGGUUUGGUGGAAGAAGACAACAUUCCCCGAUAGAGGAGGACCGUUCUUCCAUCAAGGGAAUAGGAAUAGCUGGGCUCCUCCAAACAAGCUCUCAUAGUCCAUUCGUAGGACUGCCUUCCUUUAAAACAAACAAAAUUGAAACAAACGAAAAGACCUCUCAACAUUU
rfam:Canis lupus familiaris chromosome 17, whole genome shotgun sequence.